AUUGCUAUGAGAGUGACUACCCAACAAUGUUGGUGUAAUGGAAGACAUUACAGUCUCAAGGAAUAAUUGGUUGAGAGUCAUGAAAGUAAGGAUGGCAUACUUCAAUGCACAAAUCAAAUUACCUGGAUAAAUGGGAAAUAAUACUCCCAGGGAAAACAGAUUCUUUCUCAAGAGGGAGCAAGUGGAUAACUGCUUUAGAAUACAAAGGAGAGGAGGAUGGACUACAUGUUAAUUGCUGCAACAAGCUAAUUAUGCCAAGUGCUUGUACACAAGCAAAAGUUAUCUGCUAUCCUCUAUCCCUCUUAUGUUCAUCUGUCUUUCCUUAUCUGUGUUCUUUUUUUUUUCCCCUCUCGCCAUUUGGUGGCAUAUUCAUUUUUCAAUCACUUUACCUUGGCAUCACUAACAAACCUUACUCUUUUUAUUUUCUCCCACAUCCAGGCUGUUCAUGCAACACAUUUCAAAAUUUUGUUAUUUCUUCCUGUUCCUGUCUUUAA
rnacentral:lncRNA from 1 species